CCUACGGGAGGCAGCAGUGGGGAAUUUUCCGCAAUGGGCGCAAGCCUGACGGAGCAAGACCGCGUGAGGGAGGAAGGCUCUUGGGUUGUAAACCUCUUUUAUCAGGGAAGAAGAUCUGACGGUACCUGAUGAAUCAGCAUCGGCUAACUCCGUGCCAGCAGCCGCGGUAAUACGGAGGAUGCAAGCGUUAUCCGGAUUUAUUGGGCGUAAAGCGUCCGCAGGUGGUUAUUCAAGUCUGCUGUUAAAGCGCGAGGCUUAACUUCGUACAGGCAGUGGAAACUGGAUGACUGGAGUAUGGUAGGGGUAGCGGGAAUUCCCAGUGUAGCGGUGAAAUGCGUAGAUAUUGGGAAGAACACCAGCGGCGAAAGCGCGCUACUGGGCCAUUACUGACACUCAUGGACGAAAGCUAGGGGAGCGAAAGGGAUUAGAUACCCCUGUAGUCCUAGCUGUAAACGAUGGGUACUAGGUGUUGACCGUAUCGACCCGGUCAGUGCCGUAGCUAACGCGUUAAGUACCCCGCCUGGGGAGUAUGCACGCAAGUGUGAAACUCAAAGGGGAAUUGACGGCNGAGAGUUGCGAGGCGACGACGAGGGAGAGG
rnacentral:rRNA from 1 species